rnacentral:rRNA from 1 species
AUUGAACGCUGGCGGCAGGCCUAACACAUGCAAGUCGAGCGGAUGAGUGGAGCUUGCUCCAUGAUUCAGCGGCGGACGGGUGAGUAAUGCCUAGGAAUCUGCCUGGUAGUGGGGGACAACGUUUGGAAACGACUGCUAAUACCGUAUACGCCUACGGGGAAGGAUUAUCGGAAUUAGAUGAGCCGCGUGAGAUUAGCUAGUUGGUGGGGUAAGUGGCCUACCAAGGCGACGAUCUCUAGCUGGUCUGAGAGGAUGAUCAGCCACACUGGGACUGAGACACGGCCCAG